rnacentral:rRNA from 1 species
AUGGCCGCGAUGUUGGACAAGAGCAAGGAUGCGAGCGCGUGGGAGUCGGAGUCGGAGGGGAGUGAGAUCCUGAGGACGAAGAAGGAGUUGACGGUGGUGAUGAAGUGGAAGAAGGACAAGAUGGAGAUGGAAACCAUAGCGGCCAAGGAUCCUUCGUCGUCGUUGGGCACCAAGGCCACGGCGGAGCCGGUGGCGGCCGGCAAGAAGAAGAGGAAGAAGGUGGUCAAGAGGAGGUUGCCGCAGGCGGUCAUGGAGCAUAUGAUUGCAAGGCCGUACAAGAUCUUCGAUGAUAUCCCUGACGACGAGCUGGCCGAGGAUACGGAGCACUUCCGCGAGGUCUACUUUGAAAGAAAGCUUAUCACUGACAAGAUCUUGGCCUACCAGCGGGCCCUCAUCGCCCAGUACAAUGCCAUGGGCUAUGCCGAGGAUGAAACGGAGGUCACCGACGACGAUGAGGAGGAGAUGGUGGAGACCUAG